rnacentral:rRNA from 1 species
AUUGAACGCUGGCGGCAGGCUUAACACAUGCAAGUCGAGCGGGGAAAAGUAGCUUGCUACUGGACCUAGCGGCGGACGGGUGAGUAAUGCUUAGGAAUCUGCCUAUUAGUGGGGGACAACAUCUCGAAAGGGAUGCUAAUACCGCAUACGUCCUACGGGAGAAAGCAGGGGACCUUCGGGCCUUGCGCUAAUAGAUGAGCCUAAGUCGGAUUAGCUAGUUGGUGGGGUAAAGGCCUACCAAGGCGACGAUCUGUAGCGGGUCUGAGAGGAUGAUCCGCCACACUGGGACUGAGACACGGCCCAGACUCCUACGGGAGGCAGCAGUGGGGAAUAUUGGACAAUGGGGGGAACCCUGAUCCAGCCAUGCCGCGUGUGUGAAGAAGGCCUUUUGGUUGUAAAGCACUUUAAGCGAGGAGGAGGCUACCGAGAUUAAUACUCUUGGAUAGUGGACGUUACUCGCAGAGUAAGCACCGGCUAACUCUGUGCCAGCAGCCGCCGUAAGAC